rnacentral:lncRNA from 1 species
GACUUGGUGGGGACUCAGGCAACACAAAGAAGGAAUAACUAUUUUCCUAAGAAAACCACACCUUCAGGAUGAGGCUGAGACAAAGGAAAAUACCAUCUAUGUGGCGAAACACUACACACAAAAGCAUUCUUUGUCUGUGACGCCGUGUUCGUGAGGGAGAAGUCAUUACUGAAUGAAGUGUGGGACCUAACAGGCAAAGGGAAAACAGCAUCACUGGCCGAGGCCUCGGAUGUGAUUCCAAUUCCCCCACAGGGGACUUCUGUGCUCUGGGACUGUGCUGUCUCAAGUGUGACGUCAGCUUCUUUAGUCUAGAACUUCUUCUAGCCUUAGAAUGCUAAGAUUUUCAUGAAAAAAAAAUGCCAGUGGUGAUCAAACUAAGACGCACUGAAGGUUGGUCCCAAACUUCCUUCUUGCACCUUGUGAAAUUCAGGCUUUGAAGAGUGAGGCAAGAAGUUUUCAAAGAUGACCCAGCCGGCUGUGGAGCAAGGUAUACAGUUGAGGGGGGAGGGUACAUUUACUUUGUUGACACACAGAAGUGUAUAUAGG